rnacentral:rRNA from 1 species
UACGGGGGGGGCAAGCGUUGUUCGGAAUUAUUGGGCGUAAAGGGCUCGUAGGCGGUCUGUUGCGUCGGGAGUGAAAACUUACAGCUUAACUGUGAGCGUGCUUCCGAUACGGGCAGACUUGAGGUAUUCAGGGGAGAACGGAAUUCCUGGUGUAGCGGUGAAAUGCGCAGAUAUCAGGAGGAACACCGGUGGCGAAGGCGGUUCUCUGGGAAUAUCCUGACGCUGAGGAGCGAAAGUGUGGGGAGCGAACAGG